rfam:Oryza nivara chromosome 4, whole genome shotgun sequence.
AAUAAGUACAGUUUUUCACUAUUUACGUUUAACGUUUGACCGUUCGUCUUAUUUAAAUUUUUUUUAUGAUUAGUAUUUUUAUUGUUAUUAGAUGAUAAAACAUGAAUAGUACUUUAUGUGUGACUAAAUAUUUUCAAAUUUUUCAUAAAUUUUUCAAAUAAGACAGAUGGUUAAACGUUGGGCACGGAUAUCUAUAGCUGCACUUAUU